GAUGAACGCUGGCGGCGUGCCUAAUACAUGCAAGUCGAGCGAACAGAUGAGGAGCUUGCUCCUCUGACGUUAGCGGAGGACGGGUGAGUAACACGUGUAUACCCUACUUAUAAGACUGGGAUAACUUCGGGAAACCGGAGCUAAUACCGGAUAAUCUAUUGAACCGCAUGGUUCAAUAGUGAGAGACGGUUUUGCUGUAUCUUAUCGCUGGAUCCCAGCCGCAUUAGCUAGUUGGUACGGUAACGGCUUACGAAGGCAACGAGGCGUAGCCGAGGUGCGAGGGGGAUCGGCCACACUGGAACGUGGACACGGACCAGACUCCUACGGGAGGCAGCAGUAGGGAAUCUUCCGCAAUGGUCGAAAGCCUUACGGAGCAGCGCCGCGUGAGUGAUGAAGGUCUUCGGAUCGUAAAACUCUGUUAUUAGGGAAGAACAAAUGUGUAAGUAACUAUGCACGUCUUGACGGUACCUAAUCAGAAAGCCACGGCUAACUACGUG
rnacentral:rRNA from 1 species